rnacentral:rRNA from 1 species
GUUGUAUAGUUAAGUGACUAAGCGUACAAGGUGGAUGCCUUGGCAAUCAGAGGCGAUGAAGGACGUGCUAAUCUGCGAAAAGCUUGGAUGAGUUGAUAAGAAGCGUUUAAUCCAAGAUAUCCGAAUGGGGAAACCCGAUGGAUGAAGAAUCCAUCAUUUCAUUAUGAAUUCAUAGUAAUGAAAAGCAAACCGGGAGAACUGAAACAUCUAAGUACCCCGAGGAAAAGAAAUCAACCGAGAUUCCGUUAGUAGCGGCGAGCGAAGGCGGAAGAGCCGGUAAGUGAUAGUGAGCGUGUUAGGAGAAUGAGUUGGGAAGCUCAACCGUAGGGGGUGAUAGUCCCGUAUCUUAAAACACGCUGACGGUACUAAGCUUACGAUAAGUAGGGCGGGACACGUGAUAUCCUGUCUGAAGAGGGGGGGACCAUCCUCCAAGGCUAAAUACUCCUGAUUGACCGAUAGUGAACCAGUACUGUGAAGGAAAGGCGAAAAGAACCCCGGCGAGGGGAGUGAAAUAGAACCUGAAACCUUGUACGUACAAGCAGUGGGAGCCUGAAAGGGUGACUGCGUACCUUUUGUAUAAUGGGUCAGCGACUUAUAUUUUGUAGCAAGGUUAACCGAAUAGGGAAGCCGAAGGGAAACCGAGUCUUAACUGGGCGAUUAGUUGCAAGGUAUAGACCCGAAACCCGGUGAUCUAGCCAUGGGCAGGUUGAAGGUUGGGUAACACUAACUGGAGGACCGAACCGACUAAUGUUGAAAAAUUAGCGGAUGACUUGUGGCUGGGGGUGAAAGGCCAAUCAAACCGGGAGAUAGCUGGUUCUCCCCGAAAUCUAUUUAGGUAGAGCCUUGA